UGGCAGAUACUCUCUACAGAAAUCACAGAGAAGCCCUACUUAAAUUUUUGGAGAAAAGGUUAAUGGUCAAGGGAUUGCUGAAAACACCAUGCUAAUACAUAAAAACAUAUAAACUACUUACAAGAAAUUGGAAGCUUUUCACUUAAUAGGUAAAUAACGCCAACAAAUAAAUAACAUUGGUGCGUUGACCAAGCAGGCCCUCCCUGUGCCCUGUGCUGGGAUCCUGAACUGAGGUUGGUUCAUCUACAACUGCCCACCUUCCAUCUGCCUGGCCACCAAAUCGUUUCACAUAACACCGGCUACUUCGAUUGGUGUUCCAAAAAAUAAUCUGCUGAAGCAUCAGAAUCUUAUAUGGAAGAGAUGUCCGAGAUACAGGAGAUUCUGAAGAUGAGUUCCCCAACUUUCUGCCUUCUCCAGAAUAUACUAUUCUUCCAUAUACUUGAUUUUUGAAGAAGACUGUACACCAGUGAGCCUGCCGGGGUAGAUAGCAUAUAAAAUAUAUCCCCAGACCUUUGAGACAUGGGCCUAGAUGUAAGAAGUAAUCUACCAGGAACUGGCCUUUGGAAGUGCAACCUGCCUGAAUUCCAGUCCAGCCAGAGUUGAACAAACCACACUGCAAG